rnacentral:rRNA from 1 species
GACGAACGCUGGCGGCGUGCCUAACACAUGCAAGUCGAACGGAAAGGCCCUGCUUUUGUUUGCUGCACCAUUGGCGAACAGGUGCGUAAGACGGGGGUAACCGUCGCUUGACUGUGGGAUAACGUCGGGUAACUGGUGGUAAUACCGGAUAGUACCGCCUGCUGCUUGUUGGUGGUUGGAAAGUUUGGGCGGUUGGGGAUGGACUCGCGGCUUAUCAGCUUGUUGGUGGGGUAGUGGCUUACUCAGGCUUUGACGGGUAGCCGGCCUGAGAGGGUGACCGGCCACAUUGGCACUGAGGUAGCACCAGUACUGCAACGGCAGGAAGCGGUGGGAGAUAUUGCACGCUGGGCGGCAGCAGGAUGGAGGGGCUCCGGGUCCGAGAGCACGGUCUUCGGGGUAUAACCCGCGUUAGACUGUAACGUUCCGUGAGUGACGGUAAUUGGUCAGGAAGCAACGGCUAACUACGUG